GAUGAACGCUGGCGGCGUGCCUAAUACAUGCAAGCCGAGCGAAUGGAUUAAGAGCUUGCUCUUAUGAAGUUAGCGGCGGACGGGUGAGUAACACGUGGGUAACCUGCCCAUAAGACUGGGAUAACUCCGGGAAACCGGGGCUAAUACCGGAUAACAUUUUGAACCGCAUGGUUCGAAAUUGAAAGGCGGCUUCGGCUGUCACUUAUGGAUGGACCAGCGUCGCAUUAGCUAGUUGGUGAGGUAACGGCUCACCAAGGCAACGAUGCGUAGCCGACCUGGAAGGGUGAUCGGCCACACUGGGACUGGAACACGGCCCAGACUCCUACGGGAGGCAGCAGUAGGGAAUCUUCCGCAAUGGACGAAAGUCUGACGGAGCAACGCCGCGUGAGUGAUGAAGGCUUUCGGGUCGUAAAACUCUGUUGUUAGGGAAGAACAAGUGCUAGUUGAAUAAGCUGGCACCUUGACGGUACCUAACCAGAAAGCCACGGCUAACUACGUGCCAGCCGCCGCAGUAA
rnacentral:rRNA from 1 species